AUUGAACGCUGGCGGCAGGCCUAACACAUGCAAGUCGAACGAGUGGCGGACGGGUGAGUAAUGUCUGGGAAACUGCCUGAUGGAGGGGGAUAACUACUGGAAACGGUAGCUAAUACCGCAUACCAUCAGAUGUGCCCAGAUGGGAUUAGCUAGUUGGUGGGGGAACGGCUCACAAAGACGAAGAUACCUAGCUGGUCUGAGAGGAUGAACAGCCACACUGGAACUGAGACACGGUACAGACUCCUACGGGAGGCAUCAGUGGGGAAUAUGGCACAAUGGGCGCAAGCCUGAUGCAGACAUGCCGCGUGUAUGAAGAAGGCCUUCGGGUGGUAAAGUACUUGCAGCGGGGAGGCGUUACCCGCAGAAGAAGCACCGGCUAACUCCGUGCCAGCCGCCGCGGUAAUUC
rnacentral:rRNA from 1 species